GGCUGGUCUGAUGGAAGUGAGUUAGCUGGUCUGAUGGAAGUGAGUUAUCUUAACUGAUUGUUCACAGUUAGUUAGACAGAACUCCUUGUUCUCCUCUUCCCCUUUCCUGCUACUGCCCUUGACUAGUCUUUU
ensembl:misc_RNA Y_RNA Y RNA